CGAGCACAUUAUACUCAUUUGCAAAUAAACCAAAUCGAAAUAUACGAGAUUUUGUUUGAUUAAAAAGCACCCAGAAAACACACCUCUUCUACUGGUAGUUAUGAAAAUUUUAAAGGUCGCGACAAAAUGACAGGGUGUGGUGCAGAGUCGUACAGCCAUCGUGUCACGGGCCACUCCUUUGCGUCGCAGUGUUAGCGGGUAUACCUGCCUAUAAAAAGGUGGCGACACAAUGAAUACGAAAAUACAAUUCUAUAUAAAAUUAUGAAUUAUGAGUAUUGUAUUUUAUUCUAAACAAUAAUAUUAAUAUUCGUUAAGACACGACACGGAGCUGGGUGAUCGAAAUGUUAAAGAUAAUUUCAACGACAAACAAAUAAUUUAUA